rnacentral:lncRNA from 1 species
AGGAAAACGAGGAUGCCCAGCCAUAGUAGGAACCGUGCGGCUGGACAAUGAAAUAUCCCAACAACAAUCAGGUUCCUUUCUUUCUGCCCAACUUGUACUUUGUUUUACAAUCCCUCUGUUUAUCGGCCCUCAAAAACUGAGAACCUUAGCACUACUAGACUCAAAAGCAUCUGCUUGUUUUUUAGACGAAGAAUUUGCAAAGCGUCAUAAGAUCUCUUUAGUACAAAAAUCAAAACCUGUUCAUGUUGAG